GCUACUACAUCCAAGGGAAGGCAGCAGGCGCGCAAAUUACCCCAAUCCCGAUUCGGGGAGGUAGUGACAAUAAAUACUGAUACAGGGCUCUUUCGGGUCUUGUAAUUGGAAUGAGUACAAUUUAAAUCCCUUAACGAGGAACAAUUGGAGGGCAAGUCUGGUGCCAGCAGCCGCGGUAAUUCCAGCUCCAAUAGCGUAUAUUAAAGUUGUUGCAGUUAAAAAGCUCGUAGUUGAACCUUGGGCCUGGCUGGCCGGUCCGCCUCACCGCGUGCACUGGUUCGGCCGGGCCUUUCCCUCUGGGGAUCCUCAUGCCCUUCACUGGGUGUGCUGGGGAACCAGGACUUUUACUGUGAAAAAAUUAGAGUGUUCAAAGCAGGCCUAUGCUCGAAUACAUUAGCAUGGAAUAAUAGAAUAGGACGUGCGGUUCUAUUUUGUUGGUUUCUAGGACCGCCGUAAUGAUUAAUAGGGACAGUCGGGGGUGUCAGUAUUCAAUUGUCAGAGGUGAAAUUCUUGGAUUUAUUGAAGACUAACUACUGCGAAAGCAUUCACCAAGGAUGUUUUCAUUAAUCAGGAACGAAAGUUAGGGGAUCGAAGACGAUCAGAUACCGUCGUAGUCUUAACCAUAAACUAUGCCGACUAGGGAUCGGACGAUGUUAUUUUUUGACUCGUUCGGCACCUUACGAGAAAUCA
rnacentral:rRNA from 1 species